AUACAGCACUUGUGGGUAUUUGGAGGAAGCCAGAACUCUCUCCAAUCCCGCCACUGAAGGAAGGGAGAACACACACCCACGCCAAAGGGGAGAGGGCAGUGAGGACAUUCCAGAGAGGCUCAUGUUCCCUCAGGGGCACUGGAACGAAAUAAAAGUGUUUCAAAGGGAAGCCGGACUGCUUCCCUCCCACAGGCAACAAACUUUAUCUCAUCUUAAGCACUGGAGUUCUAAAAGCCACACUCAGGGCACCUGGAAGACAAGAUGGGAAAACAAGCCCAGAGAAUAAAUAAUGAAGAAUGACUGCCACCGCCCUAAAGACUUCCAAAGACUUCGAAGGGAAAGGUAACGUCAUCAACCUCGACAGCUCUGGAGUCAUAACCUCAAGGAGAAAUAGGAUAAGGAGGGACUAUAGCAAACUAAACAAUAUUCAAGUGGUAUAUGUGCACGUCUGUUACAUGGGUAUAUUGCUUGACUCCGAGGCCUGGGGUAUUAAUGAUUCUAACACCAAGUAGUGAGUAUAAUACCCAAUAAGUCAUUUUGUGGUCCUUUCCCCCUACUCCUUUCUUCCUGCCUAGAAGUCUCCAAUGACUACUGCUGUCAUCUCUCUGUCCCAUGGGUACCCAAUGUUUAGCUUCCACUGGGAGAACAUGCAGUAUUUGGUUUUCUGUUUCUGAGUUAAUUCACUUAGAGUAACAGCUUCUAACAGUAUCCAUGUCGCUGCAAUAGAUAUAAUUUUGUUCUUUUUUAUUGCAGCAUAGUAUUCCAUAUUGCAUAUGUGCCACAUUUUCUUUAUCCAGUCCACCCUUGAUGAGUAUCUAAGUCAAUGCCACAUCUUUGCUAUUGUGAAUAGUGCUGAGAUGAAUAUACAAGUGUGUGCAUCUUUUUGGUAGAAUAAUGUAUUUUCCUUUGGGUAUAUUCCCAUUAAAGGGAUUGGUGGUUUGAAUGAUAGUUCAACUUAGUUCUUUGAGAAACUUCCAAACUGCUCUCCACAGUGGUCGAACGAAUUUAUGCUCCCACUAUCAUAUCACUGCAUAUAAAUUCACUGCUGCCACUUUAAUGUGCCAGUUCUUCUCAUGUAUGUCUGUAGUUGAGUUUACUAAACAGAUAAAAAAAAUUGAUUUGUGCUGUUACUUGAAAACACUGUAGGCCAGGCACGUUGACUCAAGCCUGUAAUCCCAGCACUUUGGGAGGCCGAGGCUGGUGGAUCACGAGGUCAAGAGAUCAAGACCAUCCUGGUCAACAUGGGGAAACCCCAUCUCUACUAAAAAUACAAAAAAAUUAGCUGGGCAUGGUGGCACAUGCCUGUAGUCCCAGCUACUCAGGAGGCUGAGGCAGGAGAAUUGCCUGAACCCAGGAGGCAGAGGUUGCAGUGAGCUGAGAUCGCGCCAUUACACUCCAGCCUGGGUAACCAGACCGAAACUCUGUCUCAAAAAAGAAAAAAGAAAAAAAGAAAACACUGUAUAGUUUCAUUUUUUUUCCUUUUUGUCAAAAAUUCUAUACUUAUAUAAUUAGCUUUAAAAGUUCUUCUGACAUCAAUAACCAUUACCUUUUCUCUCAGCCUCACCAACAUGGUCUGUAUUUUGACAUAUUAAUAGUAGCCACUCUGACGUGUGUGAGGUACUAUCUCACAGUUUUCAUUUGCAUUUCUGGUUUUCAUUUGCAUUUCAUUUUUGGUGAUUAGUGAUGUUGAGCAUGUUUUUAUUUUAUUUUUUAACAUAUAUAUUUUAUUGUACUUUAGGUUCUGGGGUACGUAUGUAGAACAUGCAGGAUUGUUGCAUACAUACAUACAUGGCAAUGUGGUUUGCUGCCUCCAUCCCCUCAUCACCUAUAUCUGGCAUUUCUCCCCAUGUUAUCCCUUACCAAUCUCCCUACUCCCUGCUGUUCAUCCCCUACUCUCCCUGACAGACCCCAGUGAGUGAUGCUCCCCUCCCUGUGUCCAUGUGUUCUCAUUGUUCUACACCUGCCUGUGAGUGAGAACAUGCAGUGUUUGAUUUUCUGUUCUUGUGUCAGUUUGCUGAGAAUAAUGGUUUCCAGAUUCAUCUAUGUCCCUACAAAGGACACGAACUUAUCGUAUUUUAUGGCUGCAUAGUAUUCUGUGGUGUAUAUGUGCCACAUUUUCCCUGUCCAGUCUAUCAUCAUUUCAUAGUCCUUCCCCCCUACUCCUUUCUUUCUGCCUAGAAGUCUGCAGUGACUACUGCUGUCAUCGCUCUGUCCCAUGGGUACCCAAUGUUUAGCUUCCACUUUGGAGAACAUGCAAUAUUUGGUUUUCAGGUUGGUUCCAAGUCUUUGCUAUUGUAAACAGUGUCCCAAUAAACAAACAUGUGCAUGUGUCUUUAUAACA
rnacentral:lncRNA from 13 species